AGUGAACGCUGGCGGCGUGCUUAACACAUGCAAGUCGAACGAGAACGGAUUAUAGCUUGCUAUAAUUGUCAGCUAAGUGGCGCACGGGUGAGUAAUGUAUAGGUAAUAUGCCUCUUACUAAGGGAUAACAAAUGGAAACGUUUGCUAAUACCUUAUACUCCUUAUUAACAUAAGUUAAUAAGGGAAAGAUUUAUUGAUAAGAGAUUAGCCUGUAUUGUAUCAGUUAGUUGGUGGGGUAAUGGCUUACCAAGACUAUGACACAUAACUGGUUUGAGAGGAUGAUCAGUCACACUGGAACUGAGACACGGUCCAGACUCCUACGGGAGGCAGCAGUGGGGAAUAUUGCACAAUGGACGAAAGUCUGAUGCAGCAACGCCGCGUGGAGGAUGACACAUUUCGGUGCGUAAACUCCUUUUAUAUGAGAAGAUAAUGACGGUAUUAUGUGAAUAAGCACCGGCUAACUCCGUGCCAGCCGCCGCAGUAAUAC
rnacentral:rRNA from 1 species